rnacentral:rRNA from 1 species
UUAUAAGAGACAGCAGCAGCCGCGGGAAUACGGAGGGUGCAAGCGUUAAUCGGAAUUACUGGGCGUAAAGCGCACGCAGGCGGUCUGACAAGUCAGAUGUGAAAUCCCCGGGCUUAACCUGGGAACUGCAUUUGAAACUGUCAGGCUGGAGUCUUGUAGAGGGGGGUGGAAUUCCAGGUGUAGCGGUGAAAUGCGUAGAGAUCUGGAGGAAUACCGGUGGCGAAGGCGGCCCCCUGGACAAAGACUGACGCUCAGGUGCGAAAGCGUGGGGAGCAAACAGGAUUAGAUACCCCGGUAGUCCCUGUCUCUUAUAC